UACGCAUCUACAGGAAGCUUCAGAUACUCCAUUGGUGCUUGCGGGAAAGCCGCCAAGCCAGGGUGAAGAGUUCGCGGUUUGUGUCUGCAUCUGGAGAUUAUGCUUUGGCUGUUACUACGUGCGGUUUUCUGCCCACCUUUACAUACAUCGAAGAGUUAUGGUGGUAGUUGGAGGGAGGGAAGUUAAAUGAUCAUUUAUAAUUUCAAAGGAAUGGGCUCUUGUUUCAGCUAUUGCUGUAAAGAGCAAAACAAGCGAUCUAGGCAUGUCAAACCGGCCGGUUACUUCGAUACGUCGAGCCUCAUCGAAUUCGAAACACUUAUUGAUGAGCAGUCAUCUAGCGAGCCCAAAAG
rnacentral:lncRNA from 1 species